AGUUUUAUAUUCUAAACAUAUUUUUGGAUGGAAUGUGUAUGAAAUCUGAUUAAUACAUGUAUGCAUCUGACUUUAAUGUUUUGAUUGUUGGAAUAUUGUAUGUAUGAAUUCGUAUAAAGAUUUGAUAUAAACUGAAGUUAGUAUUUGAAUGACACCUGAAUAAGAUUGGUAUAAAAAUUGUUUUAAUUUCAUUUAUAGUAGGACACAAGUUGGAAACCAAAUUAAUAUUCAUGAUAAACUACAUUAAUUACUCAGGAUAUACCAUUUUUCGGGAUGCCAGUUUUAUAUUCUAAACAUAUUAUUGGAAGGAAUGUGUAUGAAAUCUGAUUAAUACAUGUAUGCAUCUGACUUUAAUGUUUUGAUUGUUGGAAUAUUGUAUGUAUGAAUUCGUAUAAAGAUUUGAUAUAAACUGAAGUUAGUAUUUGAAUGACACCUGAAUAAGAUUGGUAUAAAAAUUGUUUUAAUUUCAUUUAUAGUAGGA
rnacentral:lncRNA from 1 species